rnacentral:rRNA from 1 species
CUACGCACUCCUACGGGAGGCAGCAGUGGGGAAUAUUGCACAAUGGGCGCAAGCCUGAUGCAGCCAUGCCGCGUGUAUGAAGAAGGCCUUCGGGUUGUAAAGUACUUUCAGCAGUGAGGAAGGUGGGUAUGUUAAUAGCAUAUUCAUUUGACGUUAGCUGCAGAAGAAGCACCGGCUAACUCCGUGCCAGCAGCCGCGGUAAUACGGAGGGUGCGAGCGUUAAUCGGAAUUACUGGGCGUAAAGCGCAUGCAGGUGGUUUGUUAAGUCAGAUGUGAAAGCCCGGGGCUCAACCUCGGAAUUGCAUUUGAAACUGGCAAACUAGAGUACUGUAGAGGGGGUAGAAUUUCAGGUGUAGCGGUGAAAUGCGUAGAGAUCUGAAGGAAUACCGGUGGCGAAGGCGGCCCCCCUGGACAGAUACUGACACUCAGAUGCGAAAGCGUGGGGAGCAAACAGGAUUAGAUACCCUGGUAG